UACGUAGGGCGCAAGCGUUGUCCGGAAUUAUUGGGCGUAAAGAGCUCGUAGGCGGUCUGUCGCGUCGGCUGUGAAAACCCGGGGCUCAACCCCGGGCCUGCAGUCGAUACGGGCAGACUAGAGUGUGGUAGGGGAGACUGGAAUUCCUGGUGUAGCGGUGGAAUGCGCAGAUAUCAGGAGGAACACCGGUGGCGAAGGCGGGUCUCUGGGCCAUAACUGAUGAUGAGGAGCGAAAGCGUGGGGAGCGAACAGG
rnacentral:rRNA from 1 species